rnacentral:rRNA from 1 species
GACGAACGCUGGCGGCGUGCCUAACACAUGCAAGUCGAGCGGAGAUUUCUUUGGCACUGAGUACUCUAGUAAAGACGCAAAGGAAGCGUCAUGAAGAAACAACAUAGAUGUUAAAAACACUGAUAAAAGUUUCUUCAUCACGCGUUUUUAAAGUGCCAACACAAAGAGGGAAGGAUAAGUAGAGUAUUGAGUGCCAAAGAAAUCUUAGCGGCGGACGGGUGAGUAACACGUGGGCAACCUGCCUUGAAGUGGGGGAUAACACCGGGAAAUCGGUGCUAAUACCGCAUAACAUACACAAACUGCAUGGUGAGUGUAUCAAAGGAGCAAUCCGCUUUAAGAUGGGCCCGCGGCUGAUUAGCUAGUUGGUAAGGUAACGGCUUACCAAGGCGACGAUCAGUAGCCGACCUGAGAGGGUGACCGGCCACACUGGAACUGAGACACGGUCCAGACUCCUACGGGAGGCAGCAGUGGGGAAUAUUGCGCAAUGGGGGAA